GACAGAGGGUGCAAACGUUGCUCGGAAUCACUGGGCGUAAAGGGCGUGUAGGCGGGAAGGAAAGUCAGAUGUGAAAUCCCUGGGCUCAACCCAGGAACUGCAUUUGAAACUCCCUUUCUUGAGUGUCGGAGGGGAAAGCGGAAUUCCUGGUGUAGCGGUGAAAUGCGUAGAUAUCAGGAGGAACACCGGUGGCGAAGGCGGCUUUCUGGACAGAUACCGACGCUGAGGCACGAAAGCUAGGGGAGCAAACAGG
rnacentral:rRNA from 1 species